rnacentral:piRNA from 1 species
UGCCAUGGAAAGGAGCAGUAAUUCCUGCA